UACGAAGGGUGCAAACGUUGCUCGGAAUUACUGGGCGUAAAGGGCGCGUAGGCGGUUCGUUAAGUCCUGUGUGAAAUCCCCCGGCUCAACUGGGGAACUGCACAGGAAACUAGCGGGCUUGAGUUCGGGAGAGGGAAGCGGAAUUCCGGGUGUAGCGGUGGAAUGCGUAGAGAUCCGGAAGAACACCGGUGGCGAAGGCGGUCUGCUGGGCAGUUGCUGACACUGAGGCGCGACAGCGUGGGGAGCAAACAGG
rnacentral:rRNA from 1 species